CUAUUUCAAAAAGGCACACAAAGAUAACUAGAAAGAGAAGGUUAUCAUUUCUUUCGAGAGUGAAACAAGUUUAACUAUGUAUGAGAGAGAGAAAGAGAGAGAGAUGGGUAGAAAGAGGAAUGAGAAACAAAAAAUAAAAUCAAAUCAUACUACUGCAUAUAAGGUUCAAAAGAAGAACCCGAAAGCAAAAGCAGCCAAAGAUGCAAAGAAUGUGGGAACAAAAACAGAGGCAUCAGAAGUUGGGCUUGGUGCUGGUGCUUCAGCAGCUGCAGCCAUUUGCAUGGUGGAGAAAGCCAUCAACACAACCAUCAAAACAACAAAGAGCUUCAUCUUCAUUGCUUCCAUCUCUUUGAAAAAUUAAAAUUUUGAAAGGAGAAUUGGACUUCACAACUCCUCUUUGAGAUAUAUGUAUAGAAAAAGAGGAAUGGUAGAGAGGAAGCAGUGUGUACAUACAAGGGUUUGUGGAUUAAUGGGGUAGUGGGUACUUAUAUAUAAGGAGAGAGAAUGAAGGUAUAGAUAGAGAAAUUUGGGGUUUUUUUUAAGAG
rnacentral:misc_RNA from 1 species